AUAAACCCAAAUCCGUCUUACCUC
rnacentral:siRNA from 1 species